UACUCCUACGGGAGGCAGCAGUGGGGAAUAUUGGACAAUGGGGGCAACCCUGAUCCAGCAAUUCUGUGUGCACGAAGAAGGUUUUCGGAUUGUAAAGUGCUUUCAGCAGGGAAGAAGGAAGUGACGGUACCUGCAGAAGAAGCGACGGCUAAAUACGUGCCAGCAGCCGCGGUAAUACGUAUGUCGCGAGCGUUAUCCGGAAUUAUUGGGCAUAAAGGGCAUCUAGGCGGCCUGACAAGUCAGGGGUGAAAACCUGCGGCUCAACCGCAGGCCUGCCUUUGAAACUGUGAGGCUGGAGUACCGGAGAGGUGGACGGAACUGCACGAGUAGAGGUGAAAUUCGUAGAUAUGUGCAGGAAUGCCGAUGAUGAAGAUAGUUCACUGGACGGUAACUGACGCUGAAGUGCGAAAGCCGGGGGAGCAAACAGGAUUAGAUACCCUGGUAGUCCCGGCUGUAAACGAUGAUUACUGGGUGUGGGCAGGAAGACUGUCUGUGCCGAAGCGAAUGCGAUAAGUAAUCCGCCUGGGGAGUACGGCCGCAAGGCUGAAACUCAAAUGAAUUGACGGA
rnacentral:rRNA from 1 species